rnacentral:tRNA from 1 species
GGGGGUGUAACUCAAUGAUAGAGUGUAUGCCUAGCAUGCAUGAGGCCCUGAGUUUCAUCCCCA